UAAGAAUCCCCCUACAGGGAAGAAGUAUGUGCGGUGUCCCUGCAACUGCCUGCUCAUCUGUAAAGACACAUCCAGAAGGAUAGGAUGUCCUCGACCAAACUGCAGACGCAUUAUCAACCUGAGCCCAGUGAUGGUGAUCCCCGAGGAGCAACCCGCCCAGCCAGCGCUGCCCAUCCAACCCGAGGGAAUGAGAGUGGUCUGUGGCCACUGUGGCAACACCUUCCUAGGCAGUGAGGACGCCAGGACAUCACAGCCUAUGUCUGGUCUCCCCAGUGAUGGCUCUCCACCAGCACAACAACAGUGGAUGGAGCUUCGAUUUAACACACUAGCCAAGUGUCCCCACUGCAAAAAAAU